UUUUAGAAUUUAAUUUAAAGUCUAACCUGCCCACUGAAUAAUUUUAAAUGGCCGCAGUAUCCUAACUGUGCAAAGGUAGCAUAAUCAUUAGUCUUUUAAUUGAAGGCUGGAAUGAAUGGUUGAAUGAAAUAUUAACUGUUUCAUAAAAAUUAUAAAUAAAAUUUUAUUUUUUAGUCAAAAAGCUAAAAUAAUUUUAAAAGACGAGAAGACCCUAUAAAUCUUUAUAUUUAAAUAAUUUUAAUUAUUUAGAUAAAUUAAAUUAUAAUUAUUUUAAGUAUUUUAUUGGGGUGAUAUUAAAAUUUAAUAAACUUUUAAUUUAUAAUUUACAUAAAUUAAUGAAUUAUUGAUCCAUUUAUUAUGAUUAAAAAUUUAAGUUACUUUAGGGAUAACAGCGUAAUUUUUUUAGAGAGUUCAUAUUGAUAAAAAAGAUUGCGACCUCGAUGUUGGAUUAAGAUAUAAUUUUAGGUGCAGUAGCUUAAAUUUAAAGUCUGUUCGACUUUUAAAUUCUUACA
rnacentral:rRNA from 1 species